rnacentral:rRNA from 1 species
GGGGGAUAACUAUUGGAAACGAUAGCUAAUACCGCAUAACAAUGGAUGACACAUGUCAUUUAUUUGAAAGGGGCAAUUGUUCCACUACAAGAUGGACCUGCGUUGUAUUAGCUAGUAGGUGAGGUAAUGGCUCACCUAGGCGACGAUACAUAGCCGACCUGAGAGGGUGAUCGGCCACACUGGGACUGAGACACGGCCCAGACUCCUACGGGAGGCAGCAGUAGGGAAUCUUCGGCAAUGGGGGCAACCCUGACCGAGCAACGCCGCGUGAGUGAAGAAGGUUUUCGGAUCGUAAAGCUCUGUUGUAAGUCAAGAACGGGUGUGAGAGUGGAAAGUUCACACUGUGACGGUAGCUUACCAGAAAGGGACGGCUAACUACGUGCCAGCAGCCGCGGUAAUACGUAGGUCCCGAGCGUUGUCCGGAUUUAUUGGGCGUAAAGCGAGCGCAGGCGGUUUGAUAAGUCUGAAGUUAAAGGCUGUGGCUCAACCAUAGUUCGCUUUGGAAACUGUCAAACUUGAGUGCAGAAGGGGAGAGUGGAAUUCCAUGUGUAGCGGUGAAAUGCGUAGAUAUAUGGAGGAACACCGGUGGCGAAAGCGGCUCUCUGGUCUGUAACUGACGCUGAGGCUCGAAAGCGUGGGGAGCGAACAGGAUUAGAUACCCUGGUAGUCCACGCCGUAAACGAUGAGUGCUAGGUGUUGGAUCCUUUCCGGGAUUCAGUGCCGCAGCUAACGCAUUAAGCACUCCGCCUGGGGAGUACGACCGCAAGGUUGAAACUCAAAGGAAUUGACGGGGGCCC